rnacentral:lncRNA from 1 species
GGCUUGUGAACUCAAAGGAAGGACCACCGGAAUUCGACCAGCCAAAGAUGACACUAGAAAAGCUGUUGGAAUAUGGUAACAUGCUUGUCCAAGAACAAGAGAAUGUGAAGAGAGUCCAAUUGGCAGACAAGUAUUUGAGUGAGGCUGCUCUUGGUGAUGCUAAUGAAGAUGCUAUCAAAAGGGGAACUUUCUAAAAUGCAGACUCUUAAACAAGAGGCCUUUGUUGGAGGUUUGUACUUUCCUUGAUGUAACUCCAUUUUGAUCAUAAUUAGAAAAACUUGGUCUAAAAUUACUUUGUUGUUUUCUUUGCAGAUAUUGCUAUGUUCCUGUUCUUGAU